rnacentral:rRNA from 1 species
GACGAACGCUGGCGGCACGCCUAACACAUGCAAGUCGAGCGGAGAUUGAGAGCUUGCUCUCAUGAUCAGCGGCGGACGGGUGAGUAACACGUGAGCAACCUGCCUUUCAGAGGGGGACAACAGUUGGAAACGACUGCUAAUACCGCAUAACAUUGCCGAACGGCAUCGUUUGGCAAUCAAAGGAGCAAUCCGCUGAAAGAUGGGCUCGCGUCUGAUUAGAUAGUUGGUGAGGUAACGGCUCACCAAGUCGACGAUCAGUAGCCGGACUGAGAGGUCGAACGGCCACAUUGGGACUGAGACACGGCCCAGACUCCUACGGGAGGCAGCAGUGGGGGAUAUUGCACAAUGGGGGAAACCCGUACGAUGCAGCGACGCCGCGU